AUUGAACGCUGGCGGCAGGCCUAACACAUGCAAGUCGAGCGAGCGGCGGACGGGUGAGUACUGUCUGGGACACUGCCUGAUGGAGGGGGAUACCUACUGGAAGCGGUAGCUCAUACCACAUACCGUCAGAUCUGGCCAGAUGGGAUUAGCUAGUCGGUGGGGUAACGGCUCACCUAGGCGACGAUCCCUAGCCGGUCUGAGAGGAUGAACAGCCACACUGGAACUGAGACACGGUCCAGACUCCUACGGGAGGCAGCAGUGGGGAAUAUUGGACAAUGGGCGAAAGCCUGAUGCAGCCAUGCCGCGUGUGUGAAGAAGGCCUUCGGGUUGUAAAGCACUUUCAGCGGGGAGGCGUUACCCGCAGAAGAAGCACCGGCUAACUCCGUGCCAGCCGCCGCGGUAAUUC
rnacentral:rRNA from 1 species